rnacentral:rRNA from 1 species
GAACGAGGUGUAGCAAUACACUUCGUGGCGAACGGGUGCGUAACACGUGGAUAACCUUCCUUCAGGUGGGGAAUAACCCAGUGAAAAUUGGGAUAAUACCGCAUAACAAGACGGGGGCACAUGCUCUUGUCUUCAAAGGCGCAAGUCGCCGGAAGAGGGAUCCGCGGCCGAUUAGCUUGUUGGCGGGGUAAAGGCCCACCAAGGCAAUGAUCGGUAGCCGGUCUGAGAGGAUGGCCGGCCACACUGGAACUGAGACACGGUCCAGACUCCUACGGGAGGCAGCAGUGGGGAAUCUUGCGCAAUGGGCGAAAGCCUGACGCAGCGACGCCGCGUGGGGGAUGAAGCUUCUCGGAGUGUAAACCCCUUUCGACCCGGACGAAAGCCCGCAAGGGCCUGACGGUACGGGUAUAAGAAGCCCCGGCUAACUCCGUG